AGUCGAACGAUGAAGCACCANGNCUUGCUGGUGUGGAUUAGUGGCGAACGGGUGAGUAACACGUGAGUAACCUGCCCCUCACUCUGGGAUAAGCCUGGGAAACUGGGUCUAAUACUGGAUACGACCGAUCUCCGCAUGGAGUGUUGGUGGAAAGUUUUUGUGGUGGGGGAUGGACUCGCGGCCUAUCAGCUUGUUGGUGGGGUAAUGGCCUACCAAGGCGACGACGGGUAGCCGGCCUGAGAGGGCGACCGGCCACACUGGGACUGAGACACGGCCCAGACUCCUACGGGAGGCAGCAGUGGGGAAUAUUGCACAAUGGGCGAAAGCCUGAUGCAGCGACGCCGCGUGAGGGAUGACGGCCUUCGGGUUGUAAACCUCUUUCACCAGGGACGAAGCUAACGUGACGGUACCUGGAGAAGAAGCACCGGCUAACUACGUGCCAGCAGCCGCGGUAAUACGUAGGGUGCGAGCGUUGUCCGGAAUUAUUGGGCGUAAAGAGCUUGUAGGCGGUCUGUCGCGUCUGCUGUGAAAGACCGGGGCUUAACUCCGGUUCUGCAGUGGGUACGGGCAGACUAGAGUGUGGUAGGGGAGACUGGAAUUCCUGGUGUAGCGGUGAAAUGCGCAGAUAUCAGGAGGAACACCGAUGGCGAAGGCAGGUCUCUGGGCCAUUACUGACGCUGAGAAGCGAAAGCAUGGGGAGCGAACAGGAUUAGAUACCCUGGUAGUCCAUGCCGUAAACGUUGGGCGCUAGGUGUGGGACUCAUUCCACGAGUUCCGUGCCGCAGCUAACGCAUUAAGCGCCCCGCCUGGGGAGUACGGCCGCAAGGCUAAAACUCAAAGGAAUUGACGGGGGCCCGCACAAGCGGCGGAGCAUGCGGAUUAAUUCGAUGCAACGCGAAGAACCUUA
rnacentral:rRNA from 2 species